GCCAGCCCGCUCAGAAACUCAAAGGAAUUGACGGGGGCCCGCACAAGCGGAGGAACAUGUGGUUUAAUUCGAUGAUACGCGAGGAACCUUACCUGGGCUAGAACGCAUUCGGAAUCAGGCCGAAAGGCCUGCGCCAGCGAUGGCCGCUUGCGAGGUGCUGCAUGGUUGUCGUCAGCUCGUGCCGUGAGGUGUCGGGUUAAGUCCCAUAACGAGCGCAACCCCUACUGCUAGUUGCCAGCGGGUCAUGCCGGGGACUCUAGCGGAACUGCCAGCGUAAGCUGCGAGGAAGGUGGGGAUGACGUCAAAUCAGCACGGCCCUUACGUCCAGGGCUACACACGUGUUACAAUGGCCGGUACAGAGGGCAGCCACCCCGCGAGGGGGCGCGAAUCCCGAAAGCCGGUCCCAGUUCGGAUCGGAGUCUGCAACCCGACUCCGUGAAGCUGGAUUCGCUAGUAAUCGCGCAUCAGCCACGGCGCGGUGAAUACGUUCCCGGGCCUU
rnacentral:rRNA from 1 species